rnacentral:rRNA from 1 species
GUGCAUGGUUGUCGUCAGCUCGUGCCGUAAGGUGUUGGGUUAAGUCCCGCAACGAGCGCAACCCUCGUGUUUAGUUGCCAUUGUUGAGUUUUGAACCUUGAACAGACUGCUGGUGAUAAGCCGGAGGAAGGUGAGGAUGACGUACAAUUUGC